rnacentral:rRNA from 1 species
CCCUGAUGUUAGCGGCGGACGGGUGAGUAACACGUGGGUAACCUGCCUGUAAGACUGGGAUAACUCCGGGAAACCGGGGCUAAUACCGGAUGCUUGUUUGAACCGCAUGGUUCAAACAUAAAAGGUGGCUUCGGCUACCACUUACAGAUGGACCCGCGGCGCAUUAGCUAGUUGGUGAGGUAAUGGCUCACCAAGGCAACGAUGCGUAGCCGACCUGAGAGGGUGAUCGGCCACACUGGGACUGAGACACGGCCCAGACUCCUACGGGAGGCAGCAGUAGGGAAUCUUCCGCAAUGGACGAAAGUCUGACGGAGCAACGCCGCGUGAGUGAUGAAGGUUUUCGGAUCGUAAAGCUCUGUUGUUAGGGAAGAACAAGUGCCGUUCAAAUAGGGCGGCACCUUGACGGUACCUAACCAGAAAGCCACGGCUAACUACGUGCCAGCAGCCGCGGUAAUACGUACGUGGCAAGCGUUGUCCGGAAUUAUUGGGCGUAAAGGGCUCGCAGGCGGUUUCUUAACUCUGAUGUGAAAGCCCCCGGCUCAACCGGCGA